rnacentral:rRNA from 1 species
UCGGGAAUUUUGGGCAAUGGGCGAAAGCCUGACCCAGCAACGCCGCGUGAAGGAUGAAGUAUUUCGGUAUGUAAACUUCGAAAGAAUAGGAAGAAUAAAUGACGGUACUAUUUAUAAGGUCCGGCUAACUACGUGCCAGCAGCCGCGGUAAUACGUAGGGACCAAGCGUUGUUCGGAUUUACUGGGCGUAAAGGGCGCGUAGGCGGCAAUUCAAGUCAUCUGUGAAAUCUCCGGGCUUAACUCGGAACGGUCAGAUGAUACUGCUUUGCUAGAGUGCAGAAGGGGCAAUCGGAAUUCUUGGUGUAGCGGUGAAAUGCGUAGAUAUCAAGAGGAACACCUGAGGUGAAGACGGGUUGCUGGGCUGACACUGACGCUGAGGCGCGAAAGCUAGGGUAGCAAACGGGAUUAGAUACCCGUGUAGUCCCUGAGCGGGCUGGCAAGGCGCAU